rnacentral:rRNA from 1 species
UACGUAGGGGGCAAGCGUUGUCCGGAUUUAUUGGGCGUAAAGAGCGUGUAGGCGGCCAGGUAGGUCAGCUGUGAAAACUCGAGGCUUAACCUCGAGACGCCGGCUGAAACCCUCUGGCUAGAGUCCGGAAGAGGAGAGCGGAAUUCCUGGUGUAGCGGUGAAAUGCGCAGAUAUCUGGAGGAACACCGGUGGCGAAGGCGGCAUCCUGGACCGACACUGACACUGAGGAGCGAAAGCCAGGGGAGCAAACGGG